rnacentral:tRNA from 1 species
UUAACUGAAGCCAAAAAGAGGCAUAUUACUGUUAAUAAUAAAAUUGAAUGAAAUUCCAGUUAAA